UUAAGUGAUUAAGCGUACACGGUGGAUGCCUAGGCGGUAGAAGGCGAUGAAAGACGUGAUAGCCUGCGAUAAGCUUCGGUGAGGUGGCAAAUAACCUUUGACCCGGAGAUUUCUGAAUGGGAAAACCCAUCCUUUCGAGGAUAUCCCUAUAUGGGAGGCUAACCCGGGGAACUGAAACAUCUAAGUACCCGGAGGAAAAGAAAUCAACCGAGAUUCCCUAAGUAGCGGCGAGCGAACGGGGACCAGCCCUUAAGCAAUAAUAAAGUUAGUAGAACAGUCUGGAAAGUCUGACGAUACAGGGUGAUAGUCCCGUAUAUCAAAACUUUUUUAUUGUGAAAUCGAGUAGGACGGAACACGUGAAAUUCUGUUUGAACACGGGGGGACCACCCUCCAAGGCUAAAUACUCUCUACCGACCGAUAGUGAACCAGUACCGUGAGGGAAAGGCGAAAAGAACCCCAGAAGGGGAGUGAAAUAGAACCUGAAACCGUGUACGUACAAGCAGUGGGAGCAGACUUGUUCUGUGACUGCGUACCUUUUGUAUAAUGGGUCAGCGACUUACUGUGUGUUGCGAGGUUAACCGAAUAGGGGAGCCGUAGGGAAACCGAGUCUUAAAUGGGCGUUUAGUAGCAUGCAGUAGACCCGAAACCGGGCGAUCUAUCCAUGGCCAGGAUGAAGGUUGAGUAACAUCAACUGGAGGUCCGAACCCACUAAUGUUGAAAAAUUAGGGGAUGAGCUGUGGAUCGGAGUGAAAGGCUAAUCAAGCUCGGAGAUAGCUGGUUCUCCCCGAAAACUAUUUAGGUAGUGCCUCAUGUCUCACUCUUGGGGGUAGAGCACUGUUAUGGUCUAGCGGGCCGUCAAGGCUUAGCAGCCCAUUGCAAACUCCGAAUACCAAGAAGUGCAAUCAUGGGAGACAGACAGCGGGUGCUAACGUCCGUUGUCAAGAGGGAAACAACCCAGACCGCCAAUUAAGGUCCCUAAACUAUGCUCAGUGGGAAAGGAUGUGGGAAGGCUUAGACAGUCAGGAGGUUGGCUUAGAAGCAGCCAUCCUUUAAAGAAAGCGUAAUAGCUCACUGAUCGAGUCGGCCUGCGCCGAAGAUUUAACGGGGCUAAGCAUAGUACCGAAAUUGCGGAUGUUUUUAACAUGGUAGGGGAGCGUUCUGUAAGCCUGCGAAGGUGUGCUGUAAGGCAUGCUGGAGGUAUCAGAAGUGCGUAUGCUGACAUAAGUAGCGAUAAAGGGAGUGAAAAGCUCCCUCGCCGAAAGCCCAAGGUUUCCUACGCAACGUUAAUCGACGUAGGGUUAGUCGGCUCCUAAGGCGAGGCCGAAAGGCGUAGUCGAUGGGAAACAGGUUAAUAUUCCUGUACUUUUUAUUACUGCGAUGGAGGGACGGAGAAGGCUAGGCCAGCUUGGCGAUGGUUGUCCAAGUUUAAGGUGGUAGGCAGAAGACUUAGGUAAAUCCGGGUCUUUAAUGCCGAGAACUGAUGACGAGUCCAAUAGGACGAAGUGGUUGAUGCCAUGCUUCCAAGAAAAUCUUCUAAGCUUCAGGUAAUAAGAAACCGUACCCCAAACCGACACAGGUGGGCAGGAUGAGAAUUCCAAGGCGCUUGAGAGAACUCGGGUGAAGGAACUAGGCAAAAUAACACCGUAACUUCGGGAGAAGGUGUGCCCUUGAUGGUGAAGGACUUGCUCCGUAAGCUAUUGAGGGUUGCAGAGACCAGGUGGCUGCGACUGUUUAUUAAAAACACAGCACUGUGCAAAAUCGAAAGAUGACGUAUACGGUGUGACGCCUGCCCGGUGCCGGAAGGUUAAUUGAUGGGGUUAGCGUAAGCGAAGCUCUUGAUCGAAGCCCCGGUAAACGGCGGCCGUAACUAUAACGGUCCUAAGGUAGCGAAAUUCCUUGUCGGGUAAGUUCCGACCUGCACGAAUGGCGUAACGAUGGCCACACUGUCUCCACCCGAGACUCAGCGAAAUUGAAAUCGCGGUCAAGAUGCCGUGUACCCGCGGCUAGACGGAAAGACCCCGUGAACCUUUACUACAGCUUUGCACUGGACUUUGAUACUAUCUGUGUAGGAUAGGUGGGAGGCUUUGAAACCCGGACGCUAGUUCGGGUGGAGCCAUCCUUGAAAUACCACCCUGAUAUUAUUGAGGUUCUAACCUCGGUCAGUGAAUCCUGGCCAGGGACAGUGUAUGGUGGGUAGUUUGACUGGGGCGGUCUCCUCCUAAAGAGUAACGGAGGAGCGCGAAGGUACCCUCAGCACGGUCGGACAUCGUGCAAUGAGCGCAAGAGUAAAAGGGUGCUUGACUGCGAGACUGACACGUCGAGCAGGUGCGAAAGCAGGUUCUAGUGAUCCGGUGGUUCUGUGUGGAAGGGCCAUCGCUCAACGGAUAAAAGGUACUCCGGGGAUAACAGGCUGAUACCGCCCAAGAGUUCAUAUCGACGGCGGUGUUUGGCACCUCGAUGUCGGCUCAUCACAUCCUGGGGCUGAAGUCGGUCCCAAGGGUAUGGCUGUUCGCCAUUUAAAGUGGUACGCGAGCUGGGUUUAGAACGUCGUGAGACAGUUCGGUCCCUAUCUGCCGUGGGCGUUGGAGAAUUGAGGGGGGCUGCUCCUAGUACGAGAGGACCGGAGUGGACGAACCGCUGGUGUUCCAGUUGUCAUGCCAAUGGCACUGCUGGGUAGCUACGUUCGGAAAAGAUAACCGCUGAAAGCAUCUAAGCGGGAAACUUGCCCCAAGAUGAGUUCUCCCUAGACUAUAAGUCUUCUAAAGAGCCGUUCAAGACCAGGACGUUGAUAGGCAAGGUGUGGAAGCGCAGUAAUGUGUGAAGCUAACUUGUACUAAUUACUCGUGAGGCUUAACUAU
rnacentral:rRNA from 1 species